ACCUUUUUUUAUUUUAUUUGAUGACACCUUAUUUUUCUUUUAGUUUUAUCAACAUCUGCCAGUGGCAAAUUUUUUCAGAUCUGUAUAGAGUUAAUGUCGAAAUCAAUGUUAUUUUGGUUAAUUUUUUUACCAUAAGCUUUGUCACCAUCUGCUAUGGUUGUUCAAUCAACUCAGCCUUCCACUGAUAACAUCCGUUUUGUUUUUAGUUCCAUCUACAUCUGAAACAGUUGCUGCAUCUACAUCUGCUUUGGUUGGUAUGUUAAAAAACUAUUUCUUUGUUAGCAGUGCAUAGUCUAUCUCAUUAAAAUUAUACUAUAGAUUUAAUCCCAAUUUCAUUUUAUUUUUGUUGUUUACAUCAUUUUUUAACUUUAAGUUCCUGCAGCACAAUCUUCUGCAGGUUAAUGUAUAAAUUGAA